AUCGAUUUAUUUCUUCGUUCUUAGAGGCCUGGCAUGGUGUUUCAUCCCUUUCCCUCAGAACUGGAGAACAGGCCACCUAUUGUCCUGAGACCUCAGCAGACACUGAGGAAAAGAGAGGACAGGAAGGGUCCCUACUGUGCAAAUGUGUCUUGCAGCUGGUGGCAUUCUCUACCGACUGGACAGCCCCUGCACAGAUGUUCCUUCAAGUGCUGAAAUAACUUCGGAGGAUGAACAGAAGCUGCCUCCUAUAGAUAAGGAUGAGUUUUCGAGCUCCCCUUGGUUCCGAGCCAGUCAUGCCUACUGGAUUUGGCAAAUAUCAAAGGAGAUCCAAUAAACCCGAAGUUGCUCUGUGGUGA